rnacentral:piRNA from 1 species
UAGGAUUGGGUGAAACCUCCUU